rnacentral:rRNA from 1 species
UGGGGAAUAUUGCACAAUGGGGGAAACCCUGAUGCAGCGACGCCGCGUGAACGAAGAAGGUAUUCGUAUCGUAAAGUUCUGUCCUAUGGGAAGAUAAUGACAGUACCAUAGAAGAAAGCUCCGGCUAAAUACGUGCCAGCAGCCGCGGUAAUACGUAUGGAGCGAGCGUUGUCCGGAAUUAUUGGGCGUAAAGGGUACGCAGGCGGUUUAAUAAGUCGUAUGUUAAAGAUCGGGGCUCAACCCCGCAAAGCAUUGGAAACUGAUAAACUUGAGUAGUGGAGAGGAAAGUGGAAUUCCUAGUGUAGUGGUGAAAUACGUAGAUAUUAGGAGGAAUACCAGUAGCGAAGGCGACUUUCUGGACACAAACUGACGCUGAGGUACGAAAGCGUGGGGAGCAAACAGG